rnacentral:tRNA from 1 species
AGGAUUUUAGUCUAUAUAAAACAUUUGAUUUGCAAUCAAAAAUUAUUGAAUUAAAUCAAUUUAUCUUA